AACACAUGCAAGUCGAGCGAAGCCUUCGGGCUUAGCGGCGGACGGGUGAGUAACGCGUGGGAACGUGCCCUUUCGUCUGGGAUAACAGCUGGAAACGGCUGCUAAGACCGGAUGCGCCCUUUGGGGGAAGGAAGGAUCGGCCCGCGUCGGAUUAGGUAGUUGGUGGGGUAACGGCCUACCAAGCCGACGAUCCGUACCUGGUUUGAGAGGAUGAUCAGGCACACUGGGACUGAGACACGGCCCAGACUCCUACGGGAGGCAGCAGUGCCGAAUCAUAGACAAUGGGGGCAACCCUGAUCUUGCCAUGCC
rnacentral:rRNA from 1 species